UCCACUGUCUGGCCUCUGGAAAAAAUNGC
rnacentral:piRNA from 1 species